rnacentral:rRNA from 1 species
CGAGUGAAGAGGGAAAAGCUCAAAUUUUGAAUCUGGUGUCUUUGACUCCCGAGUUGUAAUCUAGAGAAGUGUUUUCCGUGUCGGACCGUGUACAAGUUCCCUGGAACGGGGCGUCAUAGAGGGUGAGAAUCCCGUAUAUGCCACAGACUACCGAUGCUCUGUGAUACACUCUCAACGAGUCGAGUUGUUUGGGAAUGCAGCUCAAAAUGGGUGGUAAAUUCCAUCUAAAGCUAAAUAUUGGCGAGAGACCGAUAGCGAACAAGUACCGUGAGGGAAAGAUGAAAAGCACUUUGGAAAGAGAGUGAAACAGUACGUGAAAUUGUUGAAAGGGAAGCGUUUGAAGUCAGUCACAUCUGUUGGGGUUCAGCCUGGCUUUUGCCUGGUGUAUUUCCUUUCCGAUGGGUCAGCAUCAGUUUCGACCGAGGGAAAAAGACAUUUGGAAUGUGGCAGUCUUCGGGCUGUGUUAUAGCCUUGUGUUGUAUGUCUCGGUUGGGACUGAGGAUUGCAGCGCGCCUAAUGGCCGGGGUCGCUCCUUCGACACGCGCUUAGGAUGCUGGCA